rnacentral:misc_RNA from 1 species
AAGUCGUAACAAGGUCUCCGUAGGUGAACCUGCGGAGGGAUCAUUACAGAGUCUCAUGCCCAUACGGGUAGAUCUCCCACCCUAUGUUAUCAUUACCAUGUUGCUUUGGCGGGUGCCGGUCAGGCUCAGCGCUCGGGCUACCGGCUCCCGGGCCGUGGUAAGCGCCCGCCAGAGGACCCAUCCAAACCCAUUGAAUAUUCGUGUCGUCUGAGUACCAUAUAAUAGUUAAAA